GCUAUAACAUCUUUUACUUAUAUUCACAUUGAGUGUGAUCGAGCUGUGUAGACCUUUAGGAGCUUUUCAUGUGAUUAAAUUAAGAUAUUCACUUGCACACAUCUACUACACCAUCCACCACCAUUCAUUAAAAUUGCUAAAAAUAUUAUCACUCACUGUCCUAAAUAUUGUUAUUCUCUCUCUCUAAAAAGAUUCAAUGCAGAAGAGGCAUGGGUUAUGUAAAAAUAUGUGAGGAAAUAAAAAUGGGCAAGUGCUCGGAACCUCGAAAAAGAAAGAAAAAAAGAGUGAGACGAGAGGUAAAAAUGGACAAGUGUCCGAAGUAGAAUUAGGGGUACAAAGAUGCCCAC
rnacentral:lncRNA from 1 species